UGUGUAAUUGUGAUAUGUGAAUGCUAAAGAAGCAUAAGGCAACCAUCACGGACACUGCUUUUGAAAACAGCCAGCGAUGCUCGAGCAUAGCCGCGUGAUGAUGGAGGGCAAUGGAAAGGACUUUUAUCAAUGUACAGGAGUGUUCGUUUUGUUCAGCUGGAAUAGGAUCCUCGGUCAUAUUUUUUGUGUUUAAUUAAUGAUUCAUUACAUCCACAACAUCAGAGCAGCUUAUCAAAAGGAUUUCAGGAGUAAAGAUCCUACAAAGAAGCAAAUAGCAGUUGUUACCUAUCAUAUUGAUAAGCUAGCUCUUAGGGCGGGUAAUGAGAAGGAUGAUGAUGAAGCGGAUACUGUUGGUUGUUGUACACUUAAAGUAGCAAAUGUAGAGUGUAUUUCUGGAAGCCAUAAUUUAAAGUUUGACUUCCUUGGUAAAGAUUCUAUUCGAUAUGAAAACACAGUUGAGGUUAAACCUGAGGUGUAUGAUGCAAUUGGAACCUUUCAAAAGGGUAAAAAGCAAAAUGAUGAUCUUUUUGACAAGUUGGAACUGAUUGCGCACUUAAAGGAACUCAUGCCUGGUCUUACGGAAGAAGUUUUCCGUACAUACAACGCGUCAAUUACAUUAGAUGAAAAAGUUGAGGGAACAAAGGUGACAUUCAACAUUCUUGUUGAUGGAUUCGCUAAACAAGGUCACUAUGUGGAAGCAAGGGAUGUUAUAUCUGAAUUUGGGAAGUUAGGGUUGCAUCCAACUGCAAUGACAUAUAACAUGCUGAUGAAUGCUUACGCAAGGGGAGGACAACACUCAAGGCUGCCACAACUAAUGAAAGAAAUGGAAAAUCUCAAUCUAAAGGCUGACUCGAUCACUUACUUGACUAUGAUCUAUGCAUAUAUUCGUGUUUGUGAUAUCAGGAGGGCAUUCUUGAACCACAAGAUGAUGGUGAAAAGCGGGCAAGUGCCAGAUGCUAAGUCUUACGAAAAGCUUAGGGCGAUAUUGGAAGCAAAAGCUAAAAUAAAGAACAGAAAAGAUAGGAGUGCUAUACUUGGUAUAGUUAAUAGUCAAAUGGGUCUGUUGAAGGUUAAGAAAAAAGGCGAGAAAGACGAAUUCUGGAAGAACAAGAAGAAACAGAAGAUUCCUCGCGACCCAUAAUGGGCAGCAGUCACGCCUGUUUAAAAGUUCAAUAACACAAGGAAACACAGUUGGCCUAUUUAGAUUUCUGCCAAAAUGAUAUGCAUAUAUUCGUAUUCUGUCAUGAGUACAGACAUUAAUAUACUGUUAUAAUGCUUGAUCAGUCUGAUUAAGCCUUAUAUGGAACAAGCAUAUUUCCAACAGAGAUAUGUAAUUGAUUGUGAUUGAUUUGUGAAUGCUAAAGAAGCAAAAGACAACCAGCGCUGGCACUGCUUUUGGAAACAACCAGCCAUGCUCGAGCAUGGCCGCGUGAUGAUGGAGGGCAAUGGAGUGUAGGUUUAUCAAUUUCGAGAAGGUCUGUUUGUUUUCUUCAGCUGGAAUAGGAUUUUUGUGUGUUUGAUUAACGACUGUAAGCAUGUAUAACAUAAUUUUGCAUUUCGUUCCGUGAAUUCGGCAGUUCAUUCCUUUGCUCAAGUUA